rnacentral:rRNA from 1 species
CGCGGCCUAUCAGCUUGUUGGUGGGGUAACGGCCUACCAAGGCGACGACGGGUAUCUGGUCUGAGAGGACGGCCAGCCACACUGGGACUGAGACACGGCCCAGACUCCUACGGGAGGCAGCAGUGGAGAAUCUUGCGCUAAUGCGCGAAAGCGUGACGCAGCGACGCCGCGUGGGGGAUGAAGGCCCUCGGGUCGUAAACCCCUUUCGCUAGGGACGAAGCGAAAGUGACGGUACCUGGAGAAGAAGUCCCGGCUAACUACGUGCCAGCAGCCGCGGUAACACGUAGGGGACGAGCGUUGUCCGGAAUCAUUGGGCGUAAAGAGCGCGUAGGCGGCUCGGAAAGUCGGUCGUGAAAUCCUGGGGCUCAACCCCGGAACUGCGUCCGAUACUUCCGAGCUGGAGGCAGGUAGGGGAGAUCGGAAUUCCUGGUGUAGCGGUGAAAUGCGCAGAUAUCAGGAGGAACACCGGUGGCGAAGGCGGAUCUCUGGGCCUUGCCUGACGCUGAGGCGCGAAAGCUAGGGGAGCGAACAGGAUUAGAUACCCUGGUAGUCCUAGCCGUAAACGUUGGGUGCUAGGUGUGGGCGGAUAUCGACCCCGUCCGUGCCGAAGCUAACGCAUUAAGCACCCCGCCUGGGGAGUACGG